UCCCUGGUGGUCCAGUGGUUAGGACUCUGAGCUUCCACUGCAAGGGCCACAGGUUCCAUCCCUGGUUGGGGAA
rnacentral:tRNA from 1 species